AAAACGACUCUCGGCAACGGAUAUCUCGGCUCACGCAUCGAUGAAGAACGUAGCAAAAUGCGAUACUUGGUGUGAAUUGCAGAAUCCCGUGAACCAUCGAGUUUUUGAACGCAAGUUGCGCCCGAAGCCAUUCGGUUGAGGGCACGUCUGCCUGGGCGUCACGC
rnacentral:rRNA from 4 species